UCGCGAAAACUCCGCAAUACGCGAAGGCGUGACGGGGCUAUCCCGAGUGCCGUCCGCUGAGGAUGGCUUUUCCCCAGUGUAGAUAGCUGGGGGAAUAAGGAGAGGGCAAGUCUGGUGUCAGCCGCCGCGGUAAUACCAGCUCUCCGAGUGGUGGGGACGUUUAUUGGGCCUGAAGCAUCCGUAGCCAGCUGAGCAAGUCCCCAGUUAAAUCCAGCGAUUUAAUCGUUGGACUGCUGGGGAUACUGUCCGGCUAGGGGGUGGGAGAGGCCGACGGUAUUCCCGGGGUAGGGGUGAAAUCCUAUAAUCCCGGGAGGACCACCAGUGGCGAAGGCUGUUGGCUAGAACAUGCCCGACGGUGAGGGAUGAAAGCUGGGGGAGCGAACCGGAUUAGAUACCCGGGUAGUCCCAGCUGUAAACGAUGCAGGCUAGGUGUUAGGGCGGCCACGUGCCGCUCUAGUGCCGCAGGGAAGCUGUUAAGCCUGCCGCCUGGGGAGUACGGCCGCAAGGCUGAAACUUAAAGGAAUUGGCGGGGG
rnacentral:rRNA from 1 species